GUGAAUCAUCGAAUCUUUGAACGCACAUUGCACUCUGUUAGAGUAUGCCUGUUUGAGAAUCUAUAGUAAAACUUAUUGGUUUUCUUUUCAAUGCUUCAUGCAUAGGAAUAGAGUCAGUAGAUCUGAAGCUUCCCUUCUCUUUGAGAAGGGUGCUUUGAAAUAGAUUGCUUGUUGUUUUAGUGGAAUGUUUGACAUUUCUCAUUACCUCGCAGAAACGUAUGUGAAUGGAACUGUUUGUUUCUCAUAAUGCCUAAUACGCGAGGGAGAGGUGGAGUUUGGCUAGAAUUUAUGGGUUCAUAA
rnacentral:misc_RNA from 1 species